rfam:Ictidomys tridecemlineatus contig074022, whole genome shotgun sequence.
GUGGUUGUGGCUCAGUGGCAGAGCACUUGCCUAGCACAUAUGAGGAACCAGGUUCAAUCCUUGGCAACACA